ACCAGACUCCUACGGGAGGCAGCAGUCGGGAAUAUUGCGCAAUGGAGGAAACUCUGACGCAGUGACGCCGCGUGCAGGAAGAAGGUUUUCGGAUUGUAAACUGCUUUAGACAGGGAAGAAACAAGACAGUACCUGUAGAAUAAGCUCCGGCUAACUACGUGCCAGCAGCCGCGGUAAUACGUAGGGGGCAAGCGUUAUCCGGAUUUACUGGGUGUAAAGGGAGCGUAGACGGUGAUGCAAGUCAGAAGUGAAAGCCCGGGGCUCAACUCCGGGACUGCUUUUGAAACUGUGUAACUGGAGUGCAGGAGAGGUAAGCGGAAUUCCUAGUGUAGCGGUGAAAUGCGUAGAUAUUAGGAGGGACACCAGUGGCGAAGGCGGCUUACUGGACUGUAACUGACGUUGAGGCUCGAAAGCGUGGGGAGCAAACAGGAUUAGAUACCCUAGUAUC
rnacentral:rRNA from 1 species